rnacentral:misc_RNA from 1 species
UUUCCGUUGGUGAACCAGCGGAGGGAUCAUUACUGAGUUUACAACUCCUAAACUCUAUGUGAACCUUACCUUUUUUUGCUUCGGCUGGAUCUCCCUGGCUCUCAACGGCGCUGGACCUCUGGCGCCCGCCGGAGCUCAUAAACUCUUGUUUAUUUAUGAUUCCUCUUCGAGUGUCUUAAGCUACAUAAACUAAUACUUUCUAUAACGGAUCUCUUUGUCCUCGCAUCGAUGAAGAAUGCAGCACAUCGGACGAGCAAACGUUUGAACCCCAGUUCGUUU